rnacentral:rRNA from 1 species
UACGGGGGGGGCAAGCGUUAUCCGGAUUCACUGGGUUUAAAGGGUGCGUAGGUGGGCAGGUAAGUCAGUGGUGAAAUCUCCGGGCUUAACUCGGAAACUGCCAUUGAUACUAUCUUUCUUGAAUACCGUGGAGGUCAGCGGAAUAUGUCAUGUAGCGGUGAAAUGCUUAGAUAUGACAUAGAACACCAAUUGCGAAGGCAGCUGGCUACACGAAUAUUGACACUGAUGCACGAAAGCGUGGGGAUCAAACAGG